AUGCGUUGUUGGGUAGGGGAGCGUUCUGUAAGCCUGUGAAGGUGUGUCGUGAGGCAUGCUGGAGGUAUCAGAAGUGCGAAUGCUGACAUAAGUAACGAUAAAGCGGGUGAAAAGCCCGCUCGCCGGAAGACCAAGGGUUCCUGUCCAACGUUAAUCGGGGCAGGGUGAGUCGACCCCUAAGGCGAGGCCGAAAGGCGUAGUCGAUGGGAAACGGGUUAAUAUUCCCGUACUUGGUGUUACUGCGAAGGGGGGACGGAGAAGGCUAUGUUGGCCGGGCGACGGUUGUCCCGGUUUAAGCGUGUAGGCUGGUUUUCCAGGCAAAUCCGGAAAAUCAAGGCUGAGGCGUGACGACGAGGCACUACGGUGCUGAAGCAACAAAUGCCCUGCUUCCAGGAAAAGCCUCUAAGCAUCAGGUAACAUCAAAUCGUACCCCAAACCGACACAGGUGGUCAGGUAGAGAAUACCAAGGCGCUUGAGAGAACUCGGGUGAAGGAACUAGGCAAAAUGGUGCCGUAACUUCGGGAGAAGGCACGCUGACACGUAGGUGAAGUGAUUUACUCAUGGAGCUGAAGUCAGUCGAAGAUACCAGCUGGCUGCAACUGUUUAUUAAAAACACAGCACUGUGCAAACACGAAAGUGGACGUAUACGGUGUGACGCCUGCCCGGUGCCGGAAGGUUAAUUGAUGGGGUCAGCGCAAGCGAAGCUCCUGAUCGAAGCCCCGGUAAACGGCGGCCGUAACUAUAACGGUCCUAAGGUAGCGAAAUUCCUUGUCGGGUAAGUUCCGACCUGCACGAAUGGCGUAAUGAUGGCCAGGCUGUCUCCACCCGAGACUCAGUGAAAUUGAACUCGCUGUGAAGAUGCAGUGUACCCGCGGCAAGACGGAAAGACCCCGUGAACCUUUACUAUAGCUUGACACUGAACAUUGAGCCUUGAUGUGUAGGAUAGGUGGGAGGCUUUGAAGUGUGGACGCCAGUCUGCAUGGAGCCGACCUUGAAAUACCACCCUUUAAUGUUUGAUGUUCUAACGUGGACCCGUUACCCGGGUUGCGGACAGUGUCUGGUGGGUAGUUUGACUGGGGCGGUCUCCUCCUAAAGAGUAACGGAGGAGCACGAAGGUUGGCUAAUCCUGGUCGGACAUCAGGAGGUUAGUGCAAUGGCAUAAGCCAGCUUGACUGCGAGCGUGACGGCGCGAGCAGGUGCGAAAGCAGGUCAUAGUGAUCCGGUGGUUCUGAAUGGAAGGGCCAUCGCUCAACGGAUAAAAGGUACUCCGGGGAUAACAGGCUGAUACCGCCCAAGAGUUCAUAUCGACGGCGGUGUUUGGCACCUCGAUGUCGGCUCAUCACAUCCUGGGGCUGAAGUAGGUCCCAAGGGUAUGGCUGUUCGCCAUUUAAAGUGGUACGCGAGCUGGGUUUAGAACGUCGUGAGACAGUUCGGUCCCUAUCUGCCGUGGGCGCUGGAGAACUGAGGGGGGCUGCUCCUAGUACGAGAGGACCGGAGUGGACGCAUCACUGGUGUUCGGGUUGUCAUGCCAAUGGCACUGCCCGGUAGCUAAAUGCGGAAGAGAUAAGUGCUGAAAGCAUCUAAGCACGAAACUUGCCCCGA
rnacentral:rRNA from 1 species